rnacentral:rRNA from 1 species
AUUGAACGCUGGCGGCAGGCUUAACACAUGCAAGUCGAGCGGGGGAGGUUGCUUCGGUAACUGACCUAGCGGCGGACGGGUGAGUAAUGCUUAGGAAUCUGCCUAUUAGUGGGGGACAACAUUCCGAAAGGAAUGCUAAUACCGCAUACGCCCUACGGGGGAAAGCAGGGGAUCUUCGGACCUUGCGCUAAUAGAUGAGCCUAAGUCGGAUUAGCUAGUUGGUGGGGUAAAGGCCUACCAAGGCGACGAUCUGUAGCGGGUCUGAGAGGAUGAUCCGCGACACUGGGACUGGGACACGGCCCAGACUCCUACGGGAGGCAGCAGUGGGGAAUAUUGGACAAUGGGCGGAAGCCUGAUCCAGCCAUGCCGCGUGUGUGAAGAAGGCCUUUUGGUUGUAAAACACCUUAAGCGAGGAGGAGGCUCUUAAGGUUAAUACCCUUGAUGAGUGGACGUUAUUCGCAGAAUAAGCACCGGCUAACUCUGUGCCAGCCGCCGCCGUAAUAC